UCAAGUUUACGGGGCGACACGGGAACACCGGUUUGGGGGGGACAAGCGCGACCGGAAGGGCCAUGCGAUGGCCACCCCCCCUCAACUGCCUGCGUGGCUCCGCCCACCCGGCUCGUGGUCACGCCUCCUCCCCCCGCAGGCGUCGCUUGGCCCCGCCCGCGGGCGCUCGGCUCCGCCCAUUGCGUCGUGGCCACGCCCCUUUCCACCGCAGGCGCCGCUUGGCCCCGCCCCGGGCGCUAGGCUCCGCCCAUCGCGUCGUGGCCGCGCCCACUUAUCCCGCAGGCGCCGCUUAGUCCCGCCCCUGGAAACUCGGCCCCGCCCGUCCCGGACGCCUGGGUCCCCGGGCGGUUCCCUCAGCCGCUCCCGCUCCCGCCGCCGGACCCGCAGCUUCUCCCAGUAUCCCCAGUGCCCCCCCCGGUGCUCCAGUGGCCCCCCCGGUGAUCCCAGUAACCCCAGUGCCCCCCCCCAGCGCUCCCAGUAACCCCAGUGCCCCCCCCAGUGCCCCCCCAGUACUCCCAGUACCCCCCCCCCAGUGCUCCCAGUAACCCCCAGUGCCCCCCCCAGUGCCCCCCCAGUACUCCCAGUACCCCCCCCCCAGUGCUCCCAGUAACCCCCAGUGCCCCCCCAGUGCCCCCCCAGUGCUCCCAGUAACCUCGCAGUGCCCCCCCCGUUUUGGGGAGGAUGUUCCUGGUGAAGGGGCUGCUGGGGGGGGGCGGCGGGGGGGGCGGGGGGGGCGGGGCGCUCCCCGGGGGUAUCGGCUCCGUGCUGGGGGGCUGCUGAGCGGGGGGGCGGCGGGGGCGGGGCCGGGGGGGCCAUGAAGGUGCUGGGAGGUGUCAUCAGCGCCAUCAGCGAAGCGGCCGCCCAUUAUAACCCCGAACCCCCACCCCCCCGCACCCACAUUUCGACCAUUGAGGCCAAUGAGAGCGAGGAGGUUCGGCAGUUCCGGAGGCUCUUUGCGCAGCUGGCGGGGGACGUGAGUGACAGCGGG